rnacentral:rRNA from 1 species
GCUUGUCUCAAAGAUUAAGCCAUGCAUAUCUAAGAAUAACUAACAUUAUCUUGAAUCUGUGAAUGGCUCAUUAUAUCAGUUAUAGUUUACAUGAUAGUCAAUACUACUUGGAUAACCGUAGUAAUUCUAGAGCUAAUACAUGACUAAAAGGGCUAGCCCUGCAUUUAUUAGAUACAACCAACCCUUCGGGUUUUGGCGAAUCAUAAUAACUGAGCGGACCGUAUUCGUACGGCGUUUCUUAUUAAUUUCUGCCCUAUCAGCUUUCGAUGGUAGGGUAUUGGCCUACCAUGGCGUUAACGGGUAACGGAGAAUUAGGGUUCGAUUCCGGAGAGGGAGCCUGAGAGAUGGCUACCACAUCCAAGGAAGGCAGCAGG